CACAAGCGGUGGAGCAUGUGGUUUAAUUCGAUGAUACGCGAGGAACCUUACCUGGGCUCGAACGUAAGAUGACUGUAGGUGAAAGCUUACAUCUCUUCGGAGCAUUUUACGAGGUGCUGCAUGGUUGUCGUCAGCUCGUGCCGUGAGGUGUCGGGUUAAGUCCCAUAACGAGCGCAACCCCUACCUUUAGUUGCCAUCAGGUUAAGCUGGGGACUCUAAAGGAACUGCCUACGCAAGUAGUGAGGAAGGCGGGGAUGACGUCAAAUCAGCACGGCCCUUACGUCCAGGGCUACACACGUGCUACAAUGGCCGAUACAGAGGGCAGCUACCUGGUGACAGGAUGCAAAUCUCCAAAGUCGGUCUCAGUUCGGAUCGGAGUCUGCAACCCGACUCCGUGAAGUUGGAUUCGCUAGUAAUCGCGCAUCAGCCAUGGCGCGGUGAAUACGUUCCCGGGCCUU
rnacentral:rRNA from 1 species